rnacentral:lncRNA from 1 species
AAUAUAAUAAAUCUCCAACCGAUUAAAUCAGGGCUAAAGUUUCUCUCUCUACAAUCUACCUUUUCUCACUUGUCUCACUCUAUCUAUUCUCCCUCUAUCCCUUAUUUAACCAUCCCACCGGGAGAUGACUCAAACGAGGCACCGUCACCAGAAGAAGUAACACAACGUUGCCAUUUGUCGUUGCCCGUCGUUGCACCUGUCACCGAGGAGAAAAAUUUGGGGAUUGUUUUGCGAUUUUUUGGUCGCCGGCAGAAGAGAAAAUUUGGGGAGGGAGUUUGGUUUUUUUGGGUGAUUUCGUUCUCCUCGAUUUGAUCUACAUAGCCAAAGCCACUAUGUAGAGUCGUAUUCUCUUCUGUAGUAGGAAAAUCUGGUGGAGGUUUUGUUGCGAUGGAGGUGGAGGUGGAUGCAUGUGACCAAUUUAAUUGUGCGCGGUGGAUGUGGUGAGUAGUGGAGACACUGGUUGACGGCUGUGCUGUGUAGCGACGCUAGUCGACAAUAAGUGUAACAGUAUUGCCACACGUAGAAGAUGUGUGCUGAUUUGUGUGAGUGCAGUGUGUGUAGAAGUGUAUUUGUACGGUGUUGCGGUAUUUUGUUGGGUUUGUUGGUUUUUGAAGUGAUGGUGGAUACGGUGGUGGUGGGUGUGGGUAUAGUGGGUGUGGCUCUGCCGCUUUGCAACAACUCUAGAGAUGGGAGGUUCUUGAUGGUGGCUUCGUGUGAAAUGCUGUGUAGCAGUAUUUUUGUUGGGCUUGUUGGUUUUUGGAAUGGUGGUGGCGGAGGUGGCGGCGGUGGUCGUGACCAACUAUUUGGUCCCCUG